UACAGAGGUCUCGAGCGUUAGGCGGAAUCACUGGGCUUAAAGCGUGUGUAGGUGGAUCGUUAAGUACCUUGUGAAAUCCCAUGGCUCAACCAUGGAACUGCUUGGUAUACUGGCGGUCUUGAGCCAGCUAGGGGCUACCGGAACAAAUGGUGGAGCGGUGAAAUGCGUAGAUAUCAUUUGGAACGCCAAUGGUGAAAACAGGUAGCUGGGGCUGUGCUGACGCUGAGACACGAAAGCCAGGGGAGCGAACGGG
rnacentral:rRNA from 1 species